ACUAGGGAUCGGACGAUGUUAAUUUUUUAAUGACUCGUUCGGCGCCUUACGGGAAACCAAAGUGUUUGGGUUCCGGGGGGAGUAUGGUCGCAAGGCUGAAACUUAAAGGAAUUGACGGAAGGGCACCACCAGGGGUGGAGCCUGCGGCUUAAUUUGACUCAACACGGGGAAACUCACCAGGUCCAGACAUAGUAAGGAUUGACAGAUUGAGAGCUCUUUCUUGAUUCUAUGGGUGGUGGUGCAUGGCCGUUCUUA
rnacentral:rRNA from 1 species